GACGAACGCUGGCGGCGUGCUUAACACAUGCAAGUCGAACGGAAAGGCCCUGCUUUUGUGGGGUGCUCGAGUGGCGAACGGGUGAGUAACACGUGAGUAACCUGCCCUUGACUUUGGGAUAACGUCAGGAAACUGGGGCUAAUACCGGAUAGGAGCUCCUGCUGCAUGGUGGGGGUUGGAAAGUUUCGGCGGUUGGGGAUGGACUCGCGGCUUAUCAGCUUGUUGGUGGGGUAGUGGCUUACCAAGGCUUUGACGGGUAGCCGGCCUGAGAGGGUGACCGGCCACAUUGGGCCUGAGAUACGGCCCAGACUCCUACGGGAGGCAGCAGUGGGGAAUAUUGCACAAUGGGCGGAAGCCUGAUGCAGCAACGCCGCGUGCUGGAUGACGGCCUUCGGGUUGUAACCCGCUUUCGCCUGUGACGAAGCGUGAGUGACGGUAAUGGGUAAAGAAGCACCGGCUAACUACGUG
rnacentral:rRNA from 1 species